GAGAAGAUUCUAGAGAAGACAAAAUAACCCAAAGAAAAGAAGUAUGGAAGGCAGGGGUAGCAAGGCGGAGCUGUGCCCUGUCACGGCACACAGAGAAUGCCCAUGGAUUUUCACAAAUGCUGUUAAAAUGUGAAAAGAAGGUGUUUCUUUUUUCUUCAAUCUGAGCUUCAAGCUAAUAUGGGCAUUCAGCUAAAUCCCUCCUGGGUCCUGAAACAGUAUGUGGUUUUGGAUUUCAAAGAUAAUCCCUACAACUUCUGGGAGAGGUGCAAGUAUCAACCAGUUGGAGACACAGGGAAAGGGUGAUAUAAUGCAGAAAGUGACUUGAACAAAUUUACACAGAAGGCAGUGAAGUGUGAUUCAAAUUCAAGCAGUCUAGACUGUGCCCCACACAACUCUGCAGCAUAACCUUGCAGUAUGAAAAUAAUGCCUCUCAUGCAGAUCAGGGAUAUGAGAUCCAGUGACUUACCCAAAGUUUCAAAGGAAAGAUGUAACAGAGCCAUCUCUGAACUUCUGCUCUUGGGAAUCUACACACUCUUUCCACUAGUUCUGACCUUAGCAGGUGUUUGACCCAGGACUUGCCCAACUUGGUUUCCAUUUGUAUAGAACUAAUGCCAAAUUUCAAAAGAAAAUAUUACAUACCAUAAUCAAUAAAAACAAAAUAUCAAACAUGUAUUAUGUGGGAAAGACUGAGAUAAAUACUUGGCAUUGCAUUACCUCAAUACUGUUGGCAACCUUCCUACGAGCCUCAUGCAAUUACUGCUACCACUUUGCAGAUGAGAAAAAGAAAACUGAUGCUAAGCAAAGUUUAGUAACUUGCCCAAUAUCACAAGAAGUAGUGAGUGACAGAGGAAGACUUAGCUCACAUCUGAGUGUCUCCAAAUCCCAAAUCCCAAAGCCUCAUGCUCUACCUUUUUACUGGAAGUUAAAAUAAAUAUUAUGACAGAUACCUUUUUAAAACCUUAAA
ensembl:lncRNA LINC01440 long intergenic non-protein coding RNA 1440